rnacentral:rRNA from 1 species
CUGUAAGCCUGUGAAGGUGUGCUGUGAGGCAUGCUGGAGGUAUCAGAAGUGCGAAUGCUGACAUAAGUAACGAUAAAGCGGGUGAAAAGCCCGCUCGCCGGAAGACCAAGGGUUCCUGUCCAACGUUAAUCGGGGCAGGGUGAGUCGACCCCUAAGGCGAGGCCGAAAGGCGUAGUCGAUGGGAAACAGGUUAAUAUUCCUGUACUUGGUGUUACUGCGAAGGGGGGACGGAGAAGGCUAUGUUGGCCGGGCGACGGUUGUCCCGGUUUAAGCGUGUAGGCUGGUUUUCCAGGCAAAUCCGGAAAAUCAAGGCUGAGGCGUGAUGACGAAGCACUACGGUGCUGAAGCAACAAAUGCCCUGCUUCCAGGAAAAGCCUCUAAGCAUCAGGUAACAUCAAAUCGUACCCCAAACCGACACAGGUGGUCAGGUAGAGAAUACCAAGGCGCUUGAGAGAACUCGGGUGAAGGAACUAGGCAAAAUGGUGCCGUAACUUCGGGAGAAGGCACGC